rnacentral:rRNA from 1 species
CCCGCACAAGCGGUGGAGCAUGUGGUUUAAUUCGACGCAACGCGAAGAACCUUACCAAGGCUUGACAUCCAUAGAAUCCGGCAGAGAUGCAGGAGUGCCUUUCGGGGAACUAUGAGACAGGUGGUGCAUGGUUGUCGUCAGCUCGUGUCGUGAGAUGUUGGGUUAAGUCCCGCAACGAGCGCAACCCUUGUCUUUAGUUGCCAUCAUUAAGUUGGGCACUCUAAAGAGACUGCCGGUGUCAAACCGGAGGAAGUGGGGAUGACGUCAAGUCCUCAUGGCCUUUAUGACCAGGGCUACACACGUACUACAAUGGCAGGUACAAAGGGCAGCCACUUAGCGAUAAGGCGCGAAUCCCGUAAAACCUGUCUCAGUCCGGAUUGGAGUCUGCAACUCGACUCCAUGAAGUUGGAAUCGCUAGUAAUCGCAGAUCAGCACGCUGCGGUGAAUACGUUCCCGGGCCUU